GAUGAACGCUGGCGGCGUGCCUAAUACAUGCAAGUCGAGCGAACGGACGAGGAGCUUGCUCCUCUGACGUUAGCGGCGGACGGGUGAGUAACACGUGGAUAACCUACCUAUAAGACUGGGAUAACUUCGGGAAACCGGAGCUAAUACCGGAUAAUAUAUUGAACCGCAUGGUUCAAUAGUGAAAGACGGUUUUGCUGUCACUUAUAGAUGGAUCCGCGCCGCAUUAGCUAGUUGGUAAGGUAACGGCUUACCAAGGCAACGAUGCGUAGCCGACCUGAGAGGGUGAUCGGCCACACUGGAACUGAGACACGGUCCAGACUCCUACGGGAGGCAGCAGUAGGGAAUCUUCCGCAAUGGGCGAAAGCUUGACGGAGCAACGCCGCGUGAGUGAUGAAGGUCUUCGGAUCGUAAAACUCUGUUAUUAGGGAAGAACAAAUGUGUAAGUAACUAUGCACGUCUUGACGGUACCUAAUCAGAGAGCCACGGCUAACUACGUG
rnacentral:rRNA from 1 species